rnacentral:rRNA from 1 species
AUUGAACGCUGGCGGCAUGCCUUACACAUGCAAGUCGAACGGCAGCAUAGAGAGCUUGCUCUCUGAUGGCGAGUGGCGAACGGGUGAGUAAAGCAUCGGAACGUACCGUGUAGUGGGGGAUAACGUAGCGGAAGUUACGCUAAUACCGCAUACGCACUGAGGUGGAAAGCAGGGGAUCGUAAGACCUUGCGCUAUACGAGCGGCCGAUGUCAGAUUAGCUAGUUGGUAGGGUAAAGGCCUACCAAGGCGACGAUCUGUAGCGGGUCUGAGAGGAUGAUCCGCCACACUGGGACUGAGACACGGCCCAGACUCCUACGGGAGGCAGCAGUGGGGAAUUUUGGACAAUGGGGGCAACCCUGAUCCAGCCAUGCCGCGUGAGUGAGGAAGGCCUUCGGGUUGUAAAGCUCUUUCGGCCGGGAAGAAAUCGCACAGGCUAAUACCCUGUGUGGAUGACGGUACCGGCAUAAGAAGCACCGGCUAACUACGUGCCAGCAGCCGCAGUAA